rnacentral:rRNA from 1 species
UUUUAAAAGACCUAGCAAUAGGUAUGCUUAGGGAGGAGCUUGCGUCACAUUAGUUAGUUGGUGGGGUAAAGGCCUACCAAGACUAUGAUGUGUAGCCGGGCUGAGAGGUUGAACGGCCACAUUGGGACUGAGACACGGCCCAAACUCCUACGGGAGGCAGCAGUAGGGAAUUUUCGGCAAUGGAGGAAACUCUGACCGAGCAACGCCGCGUGAACGAUGAAGUAUUUCGGUACGUAAAGUUCUUUUAUUAGGGAAAGAAUAAAUGAUGGAAAAAUCAUUGCUGACGGUACCUAAUGAAUAAGCCCCGGCUAACUAUGUGCCAGCAGCCGCGGUAAUACAUAGGGGGCAAGCGUUAUCCGGAAUUAUUGGGCGUAAAGGGUGCGUAGGCGGUUAAAUAAGUUUAUGGUCUAAGUGCAAUGCUCAACAUUGUGAUGCUAUAAAAACUGUUUAGCUAGAGUAAGAUAGAGGCAAGUGGAAUUCCAUGUGUAGUGGUAAAAUGCGUAAAUAUAUGGAGGAACACCAGUAGCGAAGGCGGCUUGCUGGGUCUUUACUGACGCUGAGGCACGAAAGCGUGGGGAGCAAACAGGAUUAGAUACCCUGGUAGUCCACGCCGUAAACGAUGAGUACUAAACGUUGGGUAAAACCAGUGUUGAAGUUAACACAUUAAGUACUCCGCCUGAGUAGUACGUACGCAAGUAUGAAACUUAAAGGAAUUGACGGGACUCCGCACAAGCGGUGGAUCAUGUUGUUUAAUUCGAAGGUACCCGAAAAACCUCACCAGGUCUUGACAUGCUUCUGCAAAGCUGUAGAAACACAGUGGAGGUUAUCAGUUGCACAGGUGGUGCAUGGUUGUCGUCAGCUCGUGUCGUGAGAUGUUGGGUUAAGUCCCGCAACGAGCGCAACCCUUAUUGUUAGUUACCAGCACGUAAUGGUGGGGACUUUAGCAAGACUGCCAGUGAUAAAUUGGAGGAAGGUGGGGACGACGUCAAAUCAUCAUGCCCCUUAUGACCUGGGCUACAAACGUGAUACAAUGGCUGUUACAAAGGGUAGCUGAAGCGCAAGUUUUUGGCGAAUCUCAAAAAAACAGUCUCAGUUCGGAUUGAAGUCUGCAACUCGACUUCAUGAAGUUGGAAUCGCUAGUAAUCGCGAAUCCAGCAUGUCGCGGUGAAUACGUUCUCGGGGUUUGUACACACCGCCCGUCA